AGCAGUCGCCGCGGUAAUACGUAGGUGGCAAGCGUUGUCCGGAAUUAUUGGGCGUAAAGGGCUCGCAGGCGGUUUCUUAAGUCUGAUGUGAAAGCCCCCGGCUCAACCGGGGAGGGUCAUUGGAAACUGGGAAACUUGAGUGCAGAAGAGGAGAGUGGAAUUCCACGUGUAGCGGUGAAAUGCGUAGAGAUGUGGAGGAACACCAGUGGCGAAGGCGACUCUCUGGUCUGUAACUGACGCUGAGAAGCGAAAGCGUGGGGAGCGAACAGGAUUAGAGACCCGUGUAGUCCCUGUCUCUUAUAC
rnacentral:rRNA from 1 species